UUGGGGAUGAGAUGCACUAUAUGACGCAGCAGUAACAACAACCAGUUUGAAGUUAAAUCUUUUAUUCAGAUGUGGAGGUUAUUUGACAAACACACUUAUGCCCCUGUCAUGUAGAUCAUCCCAGAACCAGUUGGAGUUGUCACAUUUCCUCCAAAAGAAUAUGCUUUCUUCACAGCAUGAGGGAUGAUGCACACUAUACGACGCAGCAACGACAAUGAUGGAAUAGAAAUUUAAUAUCCUUUUUCUUAAUCUUCUCUAAAUGUGGAGUUAUUAACAACCAGCUUGUGUAACGUUAUCACAGAACUGUGGACAAACACACUUAUCCCCUCCCCCUGUGGAUCAUCCCAAAACCAGUUGGAGUUGUCAUAAUUCCUUCAAAAGCUAAAGAGAAUGCGUCUGUGGUCCCCGAGACUGACCCCAACACAUUGAACUAGUCCCUGAAGAGAAAAAUUGGUGGAGCUUUGGGGACAAGAGUGAUUAUCCCUUCAAUUAUGGUGUUAUAUAUGUCAAAAGGAAAGUAGGAGCUUGUUCAUAUGUUGAUGAUCCAGUUGGGUGUCAGUCACUGCUUUCACGAGCAAUGCAUAAGGUUUUGGUUUAAGAACUCUAGGGGAAUCUAAUAUGCUAGCUAAUAAUAGUCAUAGAGAGGUGGAUUAUGAUAGUGUCGAUCACUUGACACUUGGUCAGCACUUUCUCAUCGGAUCCAAGCCUAAUAACCUUUGCACAGUUGUGCUGUGACAAAUCUUGGAAUAACAAAUCUGAUUCUGAUUUCAAGGAGUUCUGUCUGCAAGUGUUGUUUGACUGUAUAAGCAAGGAUAGACCAGCCCUUUUGCAGGUGAUAGCUACUUAAGGCUACCUAACCCUAUGGUUUAAUGGUUAUUAAUACUGUGUGGAACAUUCUUGUUGUAGUUUAAUUGGCAUGUGUAUACUACUAAUCUUGAGUAUAUGUCACAUGAUUCUUAUAGCUUUAUUUAUACUUGUAUACAACCAUUGGUUCAAUGGCUGAUCUGCUUGUUAAAAGCGAUAUCAACGUGUAUGAUUCACUUUCCAUCUCAAGUCGCAAAGACGGAACUGAAAAAUACUAUUGAUAUUUACAAUUUUGUAACCUGCUUUGCUGUUCUAUCUUUGGAUAUAAUAGUAUGAUCUCAGGUUGCCCUUGCCUACAACGAGGCGGUAUCGAGUGGAAGAUUGACAUCUUCAAGUGGCUUUGUACAAUCGGGGAUGAUGCACUAUAUGACGCAGCAACAACAACGAUGGAAUGGAAACUACUGUAGUAUCCUUUUUUCUAUAUCUCUAAUGGAGAAUAUGCAUUCUUCAUAGAAUCAGGGAUGAGAUGUACUAUAUGACGCAGCAACGAUGGAAUGACAACAUAAUAUCCUUUUUCUUGAUCUCAAAUUCCUUUUCUUAUUUUUUUUUGAAAACCUCUGUGAAGUUAAUCCUUUAUCCUUUAUUCAGAUGUGGAGACUAUUGAAAAUGAUGUAGCUUCUACAAUGUUAUUAUAGAACCGUGGACAACACACUUAUGCCCUGCAACAAUCGCGUUGGCGAUAUGAUUCUACUGAUGGUGUUUGAUAGUCUCGACUUAAUACGGCUUCCUUGUCUACAGAUUUGGAAUGUUUCUUGAAGAGGUACGUGUGGAGCCUGGAAGGAAGUGAAUGGGUACCGAUGUUCUCCAAAAGCUGAAACCUUUUUGUCUCCAAUCACCAUCUGAAACUAAUGAACCUGCACUCGUUUCUUGAGAGGCUUCCUCCAACAUUGGCGCAUCUAUACAGAAUGGAGAUAUUGAUUCAGGAUGCUAACGCAAAGGCGACAGCAAGUAUCAGACUUCGAAAUUUGGAUCGAAAGUAGAAACAUUAUAUAUUUAAAAAUGAAGAUACGGCGAAGCCAAUACAUAUUUCACUUCAUCUGCUAAACAAAACAACUAAAAAAAUGUAUCAAAA